AGAGCGAACGCUGGCGGCAGGCCUAACACAUGCAAGUCGAACGGACUCUUCGGAGUUAGUGGCGGACGGGUGAGUAACACGUGGGAACGUGCCUUUAGGUUCGGAAUAGCUCCUGGAAACGGGUGGUAAUGCCGAAUGUGCCCUUCGGGGGAAAGAUUUAUCGCCUUUAGAGCGGCCCGCGUCUGAUUAGCUAGUUGGUGAGGUAAAGGCUCACCAAGGCUACGAUCAGUAGCUGGUCUGAGAGGACGACCAGCCACACUGGGACUGAGACACGGCCCAGACUCCUACGGGAGGCAGCAGUGGGGAAUUUUGGACAAUGGGCGAAAGCCUGAUCCAGCCAUGCCGCGUGCAGGAUGAAGGCCUUGGUUG
rnacentral:rRNA from 1 species